UACGAGGGGUCCUAGCGUUGUUCGGAAUUAUUGGGCGUAAAGCGGGUGCAGGUGGCUAGAUAAGUCAGAUGUGAAAGCCCCGGGCUUAACCUGGGAAGUGCGUUUGAUACUAUUUAGCUUGAGUACGGGAGAGGGUAGUGGAAUUCCUGGUGUAGUGGUGAAAUACGUAGAUAUCAGGAGGAACACCGGUGGCGAAGGCGGCUACCUGGCCCAGUACUGACACUCAGACCCGAAAGCGUGGGGAUCAAACAGG
rnacentral:misc_RNA from 1 species